rnacentral:rRNA from 1 species
GACGUAGGGCGCGAGCGUUGUCCGGAUUUAUUGGGCGUAAAGAGCUCGUAGGCGGUGUGUCACGUCGGCCGUGAAAACCUGCAGCUUAACUGUGGGCGUGCGGUCGAUACGGGCGUCACUGGAGUUCGGCAGGGGAGACUGGAAUUCCUGGUGUAGCGGUGAAAUGCGCAGAUAUCAGGAGGAACACCGGUGGCGAAGGCGGGUCUCUGGGCCGAUACUGACGCUGAGGAGCGAAAGCGUGGGGAGCAAACAGG